rnacentral:rRNA from 1 species
ACAGAGGUCCCGAGCGUUGUUCGGAUUCACUGGGCGUAAAGGGUGCGUAGGCGGCUUUGAAAGUCUGAUGUGAAAUCUCCGGGCCCAACCCGGAAACUGCAUUAGAAACUGCAGGGCUAGAGGCUUGGAGGGGGAACUGGAAUGCUCGGUGUAGCAGUGAAAUGCGUAGAGAUCGAGCGGAACACCAGUGGCGAAGGCGAGUUCCUGGACAAGUCCUGACGCUGAGGCACGAAAGCCGGGGGAGCAAACAGGA